GGGGAUAUAGUUCAAUUGGUAGAGUGCUUGCCUAGCAUGCACAAAGAACUGGGUUCAACCCCCAGCACCACCA
rnacentral:tRNA from 1 species